UAUCACGGCUGUUGCACUUCACCUUCAUUGUCUCUGCAAAUCGCGGUUUCACCUUAACAGUGUAGUUAAUUCUAUUCAUUUCUCCUUUCAUCCUGAGAGAUGUUGACGUUCCGACUCCUGUUGUCUCUAUCCCUAUAUAAACUCUUCAUCAAAUGUCAGCUCGAAAUACGUUCUACAAACUCCAGACAACCACAUCAAGCGCUGGCCAUGAAGUCAUGGGUUUCAUGUUUUCAUCGACGAGUAGGGGUUGAUCCAGGAAAUUCCGGAACCGGGUCUUCUGAAUCAUCCAUGUCCAUUAUGCUUCAUCUGGAUUCGAGGAGAACUAGGAGAGGUCGAACCGAUAGAGGGAGGUCAAGUUGCAGAUAAGAAGCGCUUAUGAAUUGAUGGUACGAAUUAAUGGAACGAGAGCUGAACCAAGGUUUUGCGCAAAGGGUCUUUGCACCACAUAUCUUAUAUUUAAUCACAUAUAAGAUACAAAGUAAAAGGUCGUCAGAAAAAUACGAUAUCCUGAACAACUUAGGAAAUAGUACGAAAAGGUUCACAACUACUCAUCAGACAUCCAGGAAAUCGGUAAAUAUGUUUAGGAGAGUAAAGUAUGGCCUUUUCGAGAUCCAACCAGAAAGAGCCACGGACCGUUAUCAUGAGUGUCGCUCUGCGUCUCUGCCGAUGGAAAUCUUGUGGUCAUUUUCCCCACUGUGGAAGCUCUCAUGUCUUUGGUGAAAAUAUGCGCUUUGGUGGACUCUUUUGCUGCAAAAACAGUGUUUUUUUUUAAGAUUGCUUGGAACAUGUCAAGAGACCUUUUGUCCUUGACUACUAGAUUUUGUGAAGGCUUAAAAUUCUAAUCUUUUCCUGCAGAGUACUAUCUUUAUAUAAAAUAGAUAUUAAGAUGCCAAAUGAACUGAUUUUCCCUGUCUUUUUAUAUACUGAUGCAGACGUACGGUAACGGAACAAUGCACAUCAACAUACACGAUGGUUAAUGUGAAAGAAUAAAUAAGAACGAGGACAUACUAGGCGGAUCAAAAAGCACCACCGUUGGUGAAGCAAAAGGCACGUCUGUCACUCUUGCAAGUUGGGAGUCCCAUGUAGAAUCAUCUCGCCUUCCAACACUUUGAAAAAGACAACAGUAGAUAAAUCAAAAUGGAAGCGCUGGAGCAAUGAGGAACAUUAAUGGUGGAAGAUACAUUAAUGAAAUUGUUUCUGAAGUUGAUAGAGAAAAUUUUUGUGCUUUACAUUUUCAGCAUUCUCACAUUGCUUCUCUAAUGGCUGGGAAUUUGGUUUGGAUUCAGACUUUCAGAGCAGUGGAGCUUCGUCGCUUCUUCCUCUUUGUGUCACAUCUAUAGAAACGUCUGUUUUGUUCCAUCUUCAGCCUCCUCUACGGCUUCUCGGUGGAAUGUCCAACUUCAUACAUUUUACACAUGGAUGCUAACAACAUGCUAUAGUAAAUAAGGAUGAAGAGACAUAAAUCUUCUAAUGGACACGAGAGACACAACAGGUCUGCACGUCAGAUUGUCUCUACAUUGGGCUACAUCCAUAAGAUUCUUUUUCAAACUUGUGCAGGAGCUGAGUUGCUUUAUCUACCCUUUUAUCAAAUCCAAUGAAUUCAGUUUCCAGUUUUGAAGAAGGCAAGAGUACAACUUUGGAAAAACAAGAGUGUAACUUCCAGCUCAAGAAUUGAUAUGUAGAUGAUAGAGCACAAGUGUAUUAUUAUUGUAUUUGAGGGAAUUACAAUCUGAGGAUCUCUAAUGAGUACGUUAUAUAAAAUUCAGUCGUUGACUAACUGAUUCUAACGA